rnacentral:rRNA from 1 species
AACGAACGCUGGCGGCAGGCCUAACACAUGCAAGUCGAACGCCCUAGCAAUAGGGAGUGGCAGACGGGUGAGUAACGCGUGGGAACCUUCCCUAUAGUACGGAAUAUACCAGGGAAACUUGGAGCAAUACCGUAUACGCCCGCAAGGGGAAAGAUUUAUCGCUAUAGGAUGGGCCCGCGUAGGAUUAGCUAGUUGGUGAGGUAAUGGCUCACCAAGGCGACGAUCCUUAGCUGGUCUGAGAGGAUGAUCAGCCACACUGGGACUGAGACACGGCCCAGACUCCUACGGGAGGCAGCAGUGGGGAAUAUUGGGCAAUGGGCGCAAGCCUGACCCAGCCAUGCCGCGUGAGUGACGACGGCCUUAGGGUUGUAAAGCUCUUUUGGCGGGGACGAUAAUGACGGUACCCGCAGAAUAAGCCCCGGCUAACUUCGUGCCAGCAGCCGCCGUAACAC